rnacentral:tmRNA from 1 species
GCGCUUGAAAAUUCGGCCGGCGCGCGCUAUAAUAAGAAUGUCGCUUCGGCGAAGAUGACACUGAGUGCGCUGUGCAAUAGGUCUUUUGGACUGGGGGGCGGCACCCCACAGCUCCACCAAUUGAUUUGUUUACGGGGCUGACAUAGAUUCGACAGGGAUUGAAAGGCAACGCUUGUGUUCCGGAGUGGUUUCCGAAAAAACCGUUAAAUGAAUGCUAAAAACAUUCCUGCGAACGACAACGUUCGCCUUGCGAUGGCCGCCUAAAUUGGCUUGAUGCGGAGGCCGAUUGGUCAAAGCAUCGUUACGCGCAUCGCGGGGUCCGCCCGAACCCGGCAACAGAAUCGGGCGCU